CGAAACGUUGAAGAAUGGGAAUUUCCGCAACGGUCACAUUGGCUGAGAGAAUCAGACAAAAAAGAAGCACUGCGUAGGGAAAGAGGAGAAUCAGAGUGCCGUUGCUCGCCAAAUGGCUAAGCAAUCAACGGAACUUGCAGAGGAUGAACGCCUGGAACUCAUUGCAUGAAGGAUUAGCUUGAAUAACGCCUCUUCAUCACGAAACUUUACAAAAUCUGGAGUUAUGUAGAUAUUUGGCCAAGCUUUCCACCCGAAUCUGUGCAAAUGAAAAGGAAUUUUUCUAAUCAUCCUUGGACUGAAUCUGAAGUGAAUGUGGGAAACCUUCGCAUGGCUCUAUACUGGAAUCCAUGCAAAGCCAAAACCGAAGUUCAACUUAAUACAGAUCUCAAAAACACAUCUGCUGUUGUACUGUCAUCGGCAUGUUCAAUUGCGAAUUCUAAUACCGGAGGUGGGCAGGAGCAGCAGCCAAACAUUACAACACCACCAGCCUUAGAGUCGGGAGUCGGGGGCUCUCCAGGGUAGCUGCACGAGCAGCAGUGAUGAAAAAACAAGAUGGACUCUUGAAAAUGCAGGGUGUCAAGAAGAAGAUAUAUGCAAGAAAGAAAAGGUCGAAGAGAUUGGUGAUGUUUCACUGAGUGAAUGAAACUUUUUGAAUCUGAAAAUGCAGGGAAAGGGGGAAUGCUGAACCAGCAUAUCAUCGUGAUGAAGAAAUUGAUAAGGUAAUACUCCCUCUUCCCUCUAUGUGUUGUAGACGUGCAGGAUGAUCAAAUGCUUGAAGUUCAUCAUAUUUGUCACGAUGAACAUGGAGAUUCGUGCAGUUGCUCAAAUUUUCUGGAUUUCUUCAUUUGGGAAUUCUUGUGAAGAUGAGUUAUGUGAGUAUUUCUAUUUUCUGUCAUCGAUUCACAUUUCAAUACUUGAUUUUCCAUGGAACAAUUCUAUUUCGGAUUCCAUGAUGUGCGAAUGUAAACCUUAAAAAAGGAUCAAUGAAUAGUCUGGCUAAGAACUUAUCGACCUUUGAUUGUUUGCUGAUUUUUAUUGCCUUCGGUUAGCCUUUGGUUUCUUGAGCAGGAAUCUGCUUACUAAUUAUUAUACAUGGGUGAUAGGUAUCACCCGUUUUUCAUCGGAAAAUGUUGCUAGUGAGAUAAAGAUUGACUUUAUCUCAUCUGCAAGUGAGUCUGGAUCAAGCUCAAAGGUCAGUUGUUUAUAUUUAAUCUCAUCCAUUUGGCUCUUCAAACAUUGUGCAGAGAAAAAGAAGCACUGUGUAAGGCCAUUUUGGUUCUAAAAGUACUUCUUGUGGUACUCAUGCAUCACUUAACGUCAACCAUAGUUGUUUUUUUCCUUGUAUUUUAUAAAUUUUCUAAAUUUAUUAAGGUUUGUUUUUUUGUAUUAUUUGUACAUUGGUUACAAAUUUUUGUCAUGUGGGUUUGAAUUUUGUUUGUUUGGUUUGAUUUUCUCCCUUUUUUUUUUUUUUUGUGCAUGUUUGCUUUUCGAUCCGUUACUUUUGUAUGUGAAUUCUGUAAUUUGUAAUCUCAAUUUCGCUAGUUUAAUAGAUUGCUACUCUCUUUUAUUGUUUCCCUUUUCGUUCUUUCAUUUUAUUUAUUUAUUAUGGUUUAUGAGUAAUUUUUUGUGAUUGUUUGUUUGAAUUUUGAUUCCUUGUGAUGCUCUCUGCUUGGUAUGGUCUUGAUUAGUAUUGAAUUUGAAGUGUUUGAUUUUUUUUUGUUCAGUGUGCAUGUUGUUUGGUAUUCUAUUU